UAGAUACCCUUGUAGUCCACGCCCUAAACGAUGAUGACUAGCCAUUGGAAGUAUCGACCCUUCGAGUGGCGAAGCUAACGCGUUAAGUCAUCCGCCUGGGAAGUACGAACGCAAGUUUAAAACUCAAAGGAAUAGACGGGGACUCGCACAAGCGGUGGAGCAUGUGGUUCAAUUCGAUGGUAAACGAAAAACCUCACCAGGGCUUGAAAUUCCGACGAUAAGUCCCGUGAAAGCGGGAUGUCUCACAAGGACGUCGGAACAGGUGCUGCAUGGCUGUCGUCAGUUCGUGGCUUGAGCUGUUCCCUUAAGUGGGGUAACGAACGCAACCCCUGCCCCGUGUUAUACGUGUCACGGGGGACUACUCUGAUUUUCGGAGGGGAAGGUGGGGAUGACGCCAAGUCAGCAUGGCCCUCUGAUGCCCUGGGCUACACACGUGCUACAAUGGGACGUACAAUGGGCCGCAAUACCGAGAGGUGGAGCUAAUCCCUUAAAACGUCCCCCAGUUCAGAUUGAGGUCUGCAACUCGACCUCAUGAAGACGGAAUCGCUAGUAAUCGCAGGUCAGCUAUACUGCGGUGAAUACGUUCUCGAGUCUUGUACUCACAAAUAAAUGCGCCCGGCAGCGCAUAGUUCUAAGUGGUUAAAAUCCACUCUUUAUCAUUCGUCGUGAUAAAUGUAGCAGAAAGAUAGGUCCAACUCCGUAAGGAAUGGACUGAAGGAUCCGGAUGCAAAACACAGCCUACAAAAUUAAAAGCCGCGCUGACCUAUCGGGGGGUGGUGAGGAUGGGGAAAGCGCAAAAAAGGCUUUGUAGGAUGUAUUGGAACAGAAUUAUGCGUGACCCGGGGAGACCCAGUUUUCCACAUGGCAGUGGCUACAUUGAAUUGUCAAAUGGCAAUUCAAUAUGUAUUAUAUGUACAUGCAUCAGCCGAAGGAAAUUGGGAGUCAGCUGCGUCGUAGUAUCGCGCUUUUUCAUAAGAAAAACGCGAGAAGGACAAAACCAAGCAUGUUAUCUGCCGAUUAUAUUGUUGGUUUAACGGACGGCGAGGGAAGUUUUACUAUUUAUCUGCUUCCGCCAAAAAAAGAGCACGGCUCUGUGAAUUAUAGAGUGCAGUGCCGCUACUAUAUCAAGAUGCGGGAAGACGAGCUUCCUCUUCUUCUGAAAGUACAGCGAUUUUGGGGGUGCGGGAAGAUUUACUUUCAACGCGAAUAUAGGAAAAAUCAACGAGAUAAUUAUCGAUUCGAAAUAUUCAAUUAUACUCUUCUGAAAAGAGUAGUAGUGCCUUUUUUCAAACAGCAUCCGUUAGAAAGUAAGCGGAUCAAAGAUUUUGAGCUUUUUUGCAAAAUUCUUGAUCUUGCUAUUACAAAAGCGCAUCGUACUAAAAAAGGGCUUCAGAAAAUCAUUAAAUUGAAAUCGCAGAUGCAUGCUUAGGGCUCGCGUAGUGCGGGAAAUUCGCUCGCUACGUGGGAACGUGAAAUAUGCCAAUUAUCACAUUCGCCCGUCAACUCAAGGGAGCCGGGAGUAGGUGAACCCCGGUCUUGCAUCGGGGCAGCCUAAGCUCGGUGACAGGGAGUAAGUCGUAACAAGGCACGGCUAGCGGAAGCUGGU
rnacentral:rRNA from 2 species